CGAUCGCAGUCGGCGCGCUUCAACAAUUUCCUACAGUAAAAGGUCGAAAAACGCGACUAAAAGUGCUAAAAAGUGACAUUUAUCAAUUUUUGCCCAUUUUAUUCAAUCGCGAAUAUCUCGUAAACUAAAAGAGAUAAAUUGGAUCUGAUCGCAGCGUCUUAAUCUACGCACUAGUCUCUAUCAGAUAAGAUAAUUAAAACGGAAAUCUGAGAGAUGAAAUUUUAAUUCUUAUCGUAUCAAGGGGUGCUUGAUACUUUUUUUCGACGAUUUUCAAAAAUUAAUAUCUCUUAAACUAAAAGAGAUAACUACCAACUAAUUGUGGAUUAUGAAAGAUUGGAAAUUUCUCUAUUAGAUAACGGUAUAAAAUAAUUAUAUUUCCUAAAGUAAAAGGUCGAAAAGCGCGACUAAAAGUGCUAAAAAGUGACAUUUAUCAAUUUUUGCCCAUUUUAUUCAAUCGCGAAUAUCUCGUAAACUAAAAGAGGAAAAAAUGGGCAAAUGGGAGUCAGCUAUUCAGUCAUCCACGUGCGGUGCCCUGAACACGAGUCACUUGUACCGCUGCCCUUGUACGGUGCUCUGAACACGAGUCACUUUUACCGGCACCCUAUCACUUUUAUCGACAUCAUGCUACGGUAAACCGAAUCAGGCUCAACUGUACAAUUCCACUUAAUUGCAAUAUAACUAAAUAAACAAGGAAAAAUCAA